UACGUAGGGGGCAAGCGUUGUCCGGAUUUAUUGGGCGUAAAGAGCGUGUAGGCGGCUAGAUAGGUCCGUUGUGAAAACUCGAGGCUCAACCUCGAGACGUCGAUGGAAACCAUCUGGCUAGAGUCCGGAAGAGGAGAGUGGAAUUCCUGGUGUAGCGGUGAAAUGCGCAGAUAUCAGGAGGAACACCGGUGGCGAAGGCGGAUCUCUGGGCCUUACCUGACGCUCAGGCGCGAAAGCUAGGGGGAGCGAACAGG
rnacentral:rRNA from 1 species